AUAUCUCCCCAUCUAACCUUAUAUAACCCCAUCUAACCCUAUAUAUCUCCCCAUAUAACCCCAUAUAACCCCAUCUAACCCCAUAUUCCCCCCAUAUAACCCCAUAUUUCCCCCAUAUCAUCCCAUAUAACCCCGUAUACCCCUAUCUAACCCCAUGUAACCCUAUAUAUCUCCCCAUAUAUCCCCCAUCUAACCCCAUGUAACCCUAUGUAUCUCCCCAUAUAUCCCCCAUCUAACCCUAUAUAACCCCAUAUAACCCCGUAUUCCCCCCAUAUAAUCCCAUCUAACCCCAUAUAUCUCCCCAUAUAACCCCAUAUAUCCCCCAUCUAACCCCAUCUAACCCCAUCUAACCCCAUAUAACCCCAUAUAUCUCCCCAUAUAACCCCAUAUAUCCCCCAUAUAGACCCACAUAAUCUCGCAUAUUCCCCCCAUAUAACGCCCAUCUAACCCGGCCUGUCUAUCUGGGUACCCCCGGCAGCCUGGAGCUCGUCGCGGACGUUCCACAUUUGCAACGAUUUGGAGCAGAGGCCCGGCUCAGGGGUGGGGGGGGGAGCCCCGACUGCGUCUGGCUGUGGCACAACACGUGAUGAGGGAGCUCAGGGCACUGCUGGGGAGGAUGGAGGCCGAGAUGGGGGUUGGGUCCAUGCAGGAGCCGGAGCCACAGCCCGGGAUGGAGCCGGAGCCGCAGCCUGGGAACGAGACAGAGCUGGAGACGGAGACUGAGGUGGGGGGGGGGGUCCUAAAUGGGGCCAUAAAUGGGGAUAUGGGGGUUCUAUUGGGGUUAGAAUGGCCCUAAAUGGGGUCAGGGUGGUUCUAAUGGGGUUGGAGUGGUCCUAAAUGGGGUUGGAGGGACCCUAAAUGGGAAUAUAGGGGUUCUAAUGGGGUUGGAAUGGCUCUAAAUGGGGAUAUAGGGGUUCUAAUGGGGUUGGAGUGGUUUAAAUGGGGAUAGAGUGGGUCUAAUGGGGUUGGAAUGGCUCUAAAUGGGUAUAUAGGGGUUGUAAUGGGGUUGGAAUGGUCUUAAAUGGGGUCAGGGUGGUUCUAAUGGGGUUGGAAUGGCCCUAAAUGGGGAUAUAGGGGUUCUAAUGGGGUUGGGAUGGUCUUAAAUGGGGAUAUAGAGGUUCUAUUGGGGUUGGAAUGGUCUUAAAUGGGGUCAGGGUGGUUCUAAUGGGGUUGGCGGGGCCCUAAAUGGGGUUGGAGGGACCCUAAAUGGGGAUAUAGGGGUUCUGAUGGGGUUAGAAUGGUCCUAAAUGGGGUU
rnacentral:lncRNA from 1 species